rnacentral:rRNA from 1 species
UACGGAGGGGGAGCUAGCGUUGUUCGGAAUUACUGGGCGUAAAGCGCACGUAGGCGGACUGUUAAGUCGGGUGUGAAAUCCUGAGGCUUAACCUCGGAACUGCAUUCGAUACUGCGGCGCUUGAGGACUGGAGAGGAGACUGGAAUUCAUGGUGUAGCAGUGAAAUGCGUAGAGAUCAUGAGGAAGACCAGUGGCGAAGGCGGGUCUCUGGGACGGUACUGACGCUGAGACGCGAAAGCGUGGGGAGCGAACAGG